CGUACAGACAUUCCAGCGUUAUCCUUGCUUUCGUGAUUCAUGUUAUUGACCCCAGAUUGUUUCCUGACCACUGAUUUCUGCCUAGCCCUCUGGAUUGUUACUUGACCUGUGCACAUGAAAUGCUGUGCAAAGAGACUCACAACAACAGGAAACGCGUGCAUGCAGAAUGAGAUGACUGGGCUGUCUGCAACAAGGGAUUAGCCUCCAUCACCCACCAACCAGGAGUGACCCUGAGAUGCAGCUCGGCCCACCUUUUCUAGUUCUUCACUCCACUACUCCUGCCACUGGUUGACACCCGGUCUCCCCAGUCAUUCAUCAUCUACCUGCUUCUUGUUAAUAACCACAUUGCACUGUAUAAUAUUAAAUCACUGCUUGCACUGAAG